ACUACUGCCUAUCCUUUGUCAUAGCAGCUCAUCCAUCCGAGCCUAAUCAAAUCGCUCUUGGCAUGAGUGACGAGCAGUGCAUGUAGUUGAGCCUUCUGAUGCAGAGCUGAAGUGGGUGGCACACCCUCCCAAGACAAUGGCUCCCUCCCUUCUAAUUCGUCAAAUCCUUCUUUGAGUGGUCAACCAUCCGAGCACCCCACCAGGUAACUGCCACGGCAUAAAGAUGAGAAGAUGAAAUGAUCAGGCUAAUCCUUCAAUGACCUUUCCUAUACAGUUUAUCCUCGGUAUUUUAAUAUGAAGACGAAGAAUGUUCAUGGAGCCUUUUCUAGAUUUUUGUUACUAUGCAGCCCCUGGAAUUGUUUACCCAAAGCAAAUUUAUAGCUCAUACAAACUGUCUGCCUGAGUACAAACAUGCUUAUCAACUGUGUUUGACUGAGUUCAUCAUCGCCGGAUUGAAGAGUUUGGGGCUUUUUAUUCUUGUUCUUUGUAUGAGUUUUGUUUAUUGUUGAUUCUGGGUUUGGGUUUUGUAUGAUUGUGGAGUUGGAUGGCAGAUGAUUUUUUUAUGAGAAUAAUGGGAAUGAUAAUUUUGUAAAAUCAUGGUGGGAAGAUUUAUGCAAAAUCUGGAUUGAAUAAUUAUGUAAAAUCUGGAAGAUUGAAUUUAUGUGGAUUAGAUUUUACAGGAGGUGAUAGUUCCUAAAUAUGUAGAUGGAAGAUGAAUUUGUAUGGAUUUUAAAUAACUGGGAGGUGAUAAUUGUGUAAAAUCUUGCUGGUUUAGAAGUAGUUUGUUAAAUCUUUCCUGUUUAGAAGAUUGCCAUGAUUUUGUUGUAUUUA